UAGGGAAUCUUCCGCAAUGGGCGAAAGCUUGACGGAGCAACGCCGCGUGAGUGAUGAAGGUCUUCGGAUCGUAAAACUCUGUUAUUAGGGAAGAACAAAUGUGUAAGUAACUAUGCACGUCUUGACGGUACCUAAUCAGAAAGCCACGGCUAACUACGUGCCAGCAGCCGCGGUAAUACGUAGGUGGCAAGCGUUAUCCGGAAUUAUUGGGCGUAAAGCGCGCGUAGGCGGUUUUUUAAGUCUGAUGUGAAAGCCCACGGCUCAACCGUGGAGGGUCAUUGGAAACUGGAAAACUUGAGUGCAGAAGAGGAAAGUGGAAUUCCAGGUGUAGCGGUGAAAUGCGCAGAGAUAUGGAGGAACACCAGUGGCGAAGGCGACUUUCUGGUCUGUAACUGACGCUGAUGUGCGAAAGCGUGGGGAUCAAACAGG
rnacentral:rRNA from 1 species